AAGCUGGCAUGCAACCACACGCUACAAAGACAGAGUCUGUGUAGCAGGAGCAUGAAGAAGCUGUUUCUGCUCAGGUGUGUCCGUCCACCAGUGACACCAGUAAUAAAGAAAAGAGAAAGUUGGAUCUUCAGGGCGAGUCCAGCAAAUCUCAAUCACCAGCUAGUAAACGACACUGUGGCCAGACUAAACCACGAUCAGACUCAGAAAUACUGACUAAAGCGAAAAUCAUCAUGAGCUUGGUUAAGAAAAGACUACCGGCCCAAGAUAACAAGCUCAACAACUUCCUGAAGGAUAAAAUCGAUGAUUUGGAGACAGACAAGAGGGAGUUGGUCGGUGUCUUUGGUAAAACUGGGGCUGGAAAGAGCUCUUUGAUAAAUGCCGUCAUUGGAGAGAAGAAUCUCUUGCCCUCUGGAAGUAUCAGUGCAUGUACAUCAGUCAUGAUCAAAGUCGAGGCUAACACAGAUGCUAACCAACAGAACAAAACCUAUCAGG